rnacentral:rRNA from 1 species
CGCUGGCGGCAUGGCUAAUGCAUGCAAGUCGAACGAAAGCCCUUCGGGGCGAAAGUGGCGAAAGGGCGAGUAAUACGAUCGAACGUACCCCAAGGUGGAGGAUAGUGUCGGGAAACUGACGGUAAUACUCCAUGUGCUCUUCGGAGGAAAGCUUUGGCGCCUCGGGAGCGGCGAUCGUCCUAUCAGGUAGUUGGUGAGGUAAUGGCUCACCAAGCCGAAGACGGGUAGCGGGUGUGAGAGCAUGACCCGCCGCAUCGGGGACUGAGACACUGCCCGGACUCCUACGGGAGGCUGCAGCGACGAAUCUUCCGCAAUGGGCGCAAGCCUGACGGAGCAAUGCCGCGUGUGGGACGAAGCGUCUUCGACGUGUAAACCACUGUCAGAAUCUAGGAACACUGACCAGAUUCAAAGGAAGGGCCGGCUAACCUCGUG